UGCCAGCCGCCGCGGUAAUACGGAGGGUGCAAGCGUUGUUCGGAAUUAUUGGGCGUAAAGCGCGUGUAGGCGGUUCGUUAAGUCUGAUGUGAAAGCCCGGGGCUCAACCCCGGAAGUGCAUUGGAAACUGGCGAACUUGAGACCGGAAGAGGGUAGUGGAAUUCCCAGUGUAGAGGUGAAAUUCGUAGAUAUUGGGAAGAACACCAGUGGCGAAGGCGGCUACCUGGUCCGGAUCUGACGCUGAGGCGCGAAAGCGUGGGGAGCAAACAGGAUUAGAUA
rnacentral:rRNA from 1 species